UACAGAGGGGGCAAGCGUUAUUCGGAAUUAUUGGGCGUAAAGGGCGCGUAGGCGGCUUGAUAAGUCAAAGGUGAAAUCCCUCGGCUCAACUGAGGAACUGCCUUUGAAACUGUCGGGCUUGAGGCCGGGAGGGGGUAGCGGAAUUCCCAGUGUAGCGGUGAAAUGCGUAGAUACUGGGAGGAACACCGGUGGCGAAGGCGGCUACCUGGACCGGUUCUGACGCUGAGGCGCGAAAGCGUGGGUAGCAAACAGG
rnacentral:rRNA from 1 species